UUUAUAGUUUUGGGUUUUACAUUUUAAAUCUUUAAUCCAUCUUGAGUUAAUUUUUGAAAAAGGUGUAAGGAAGGGAUCCAGUUUCAAUUUUCUGCGUAUAGCUAGCCAGUUUUCCCAGCACCAUUUAUUAAAUAGGGAAUCCUUUCCCCAUUGCUUGUUUUUGUCAGGUCUGUCAAAGAUCAGAUGGUUGUAGAUGUGAGUCUUAUUUCUGAGAUCUCUAUUCUGUUUCAUUGGUCUAUGUGCCUGUUUUUGGAUUUUAUUUUUAACCCAUUCGUGUGCAUUUUAUUUUUACCCAUACAAGUCACCAAAUGACUUGAUCUGGCAUAUUAUUUUAAAGGAUCAAUCUGGCUUUGGUAUUAAGAAUAAAUUGUAGGAGGAUAAGGAUGGAGAACAGUUACAAUGGCUGUAGUAGCAGUAAUGAAGGUGGCAAAGAAAAAAAAAGAUGGAUUCUGAAUAGAGUUUGAAGGUAGCAGCAGCAGGAUUUGCUGAUGAAUUGGAUGUAGCAUUUGCAAGAAAGAGAUGAGUCAAAGAUGAUGCCAAGAUUUUUUAUUUGUGUAACUGACCAAAGGAAGGAAAGCACUGCAAUCUACAGUGAUGGGAAAACGGGAGGUGAAGUAGAUUUGGUCUUGGGAAGAGGCAUGAAUCAAGAAUUUGGUUUUUGAUGUGCUAAGUUUGAGAUGUCUAUUAGACCCCCAACAGGAGGCAUCAAGGAGCCACUUGGGUAUAAGCUUCUGGAGUUUGGGCAAGGGAUUAAUGCUGGAGACACUAAUAAGGGAGACCUUAGAUAUGGACAGUUCUUAAAGCCAAGAGUGUAUAUAUAAGAUCAUGUGAAGAGUGUGUGCAGAAACAGAAGAGUUUCAGAGUCUCAGCCAUGGGCUACUCCUGUGACAGAGGCCAGAAAGAUGAGAGAGCUUCAGCAAAGAGAACUGGGAAGGAUGAUCCCUGAGACAAGAGGAAGGGUGCCCUGAAAGUUAUUGAUGAUAGUGACAAGAGGAAUCAUUUUAGAGGAAAGAUGAGGACAAAGCCCACCCACAGCAGGUUUAGGAGAGUAUGUGAGAAGAUAAGUGAUAUCAGUAAGUUAGCUGGGGUUUGCGUGUGUGUGGAGAGCUUUUCUGUAAAAUGAAAUCGAGAAAUAAAGCCAUAGCUAGAGGAUGCUGGGCAGUCAGGAGAGAAUAUUUUGUUCUAAGUUGAGAUUAUCACAGUAUGUUUGUAGGAUGCUGGGAUGACCCAGUAGGCAGGCGACAAUUGGCAAUUGCUCCAGUAAUUUCCCUUGACCUGCUGAGCUCAAGCGAUCAUCCUGCCUCAGUCUCCCGAGUAGCUGGGACUACAGGCACGCACCACCAUGGGCCUGGUUAAUUUUUUGCAGUUAUUUAUUUAUUUAUUUUUGUAGAGGCAGGGUUUCACCAUGUUGCCCAAGCUGGUCUUGAACUCCUGGACUCAUAUAUUGGUGAGAGGUAUCCGAAGCACAGGUGAGAGUGUGGGUAGGAGCUCCACCACCUCACAGAAGAAAGAUGGAAAACACAGCUUUGGGGGUUGGGAGGUUCAUGGAUUUGGUGAUGAUGAUGUGGAUGUACUUUUCUGCUGCUUUUCAGUGAAAUGAGAAGAAAAGGUCAUCUUCUGAGAGUUGGUGGGGUGCUGGUAGACCUGGAAGGAGACCAGGAGAGCAAAUGGACUGUGGGUUCUCAGGGUAUCAUCAAGUGGUCAGGAAUUUUUUAAAAGGUCGGUUAGUAGGUUGCGUUCUUUUGCCCAGCCACUCCCCACUGUUUAAACAGAAGGGUGAAAGUGAGCAGAGUUGGAUUUGACAGGGUUGGGGUUUGCUGUGUGUAUUUGUGUUCUAGGGUUGCCAUAACAAAGUGCCACAAUGGGGUGGCUUAAGCAACAGAAAUGUAUUGACUCACAGGUCUGGAGGCUAGAAGUCCAAGAUCAAGGCGUCACCAGGCUGAUUUCUUCUGAGGCCUCUCUCCUUGGCUUGUAAGUGGCUGUCUUCUCACUCUGUCUGCACGUGGUCUUCCCGGUGAACUCCUCUGUGUCCAAUUUUCCUGUUUUUAUAAGAACACCAGUCAUAGUGAAUUUGAGCUCACUUUAAUUACCCCAUUUUAACUUAAUUACCUUUUUGAAGCUAUUACCCUAUCUUCAAAUACAGCCACAUUCUAAGGUACUGAGGGUUAGGAUUUCAACAUAUGAAUUUGGGGUGUACACCAUUCAGCCCCUAACACCAGUAAAUAUAACGGAGAAAAAAACGUCAGGGAAGUAGAAACUUUAAGCAAGAAUGGGUUUUGUUUUUGGUUUUUAUGGGUUGUUUUGUUUUUGGUUUUUGUUUGUUUGUUUUUGUUUUGUUUUGUUUUGUUUGAGACAGGCUCUUGCUCUGUCACCCAGGCUCUGGAUGCAGUGCUGAGCCCGUGGCUCACUGCAGCCUUAACCUCCUGGGCUCAAGCGAUCCUCCUGCCUCAGUCUCCUGAGUAGCUGGGGCUGCAGAUGUGCACUACCACAACUUAUUGGAUUUUUUUUGUAGAGAUGGGGUUUCGCCAUGUUGCCCAGGCUGAUUUCAAACUCCUGGAUUCAGGCCAUCCACUCUCCUCAAGGAUGGGAUUUUAAUAAUGGUCCAUAACAUCUAAGUCCCACAGAAACUGAAGUGGGGGCAAAAGAAGGGUGAGAGAUCACGAAAAGAUGAGAGAGCUCAUGGCUGGGAGGUCCUGAAGGGACCAAAGAGUUGUUAGAAAAGACAACAUUUGCAUUUGAGUGCUUUCAUAGGCAAUGCAGACUCAUUCUGUCCAAAACUAAACUUUUAAUCUUUCUCUGUCAAACCAGCUCCUCUUCUGGUCUUUUGCAUUUCAGUGAAAAGAACCAACAUCUCCUGCAGUUACUCAAGCUAGAAUUUUCCCAGUCUUUGACUCUUGCCUCUCCCUCGUUCCACAUAUCCACAUGAACGACAGUUCCUACUGCCUGCAAAUUAUUCAUUAAAUAUCCAUUUCUUCAUCUCCAGUGCCACUAACUUAGUCCAAGAGAAAGUUCACCUCCUUUCUCACCCAGGAAGAGCUUCCCCACCAUUCUCCCAAUUCCACUCUUUCCGCCUUCCUCCAUGUAUUGUCUAUACCACAGUCAGGUUGGUGGGGUUUUUUUUCCAAGUCACCCCUUUCAAAGAUAUAACUUUUACAACAUAAUUCUGACUCCCUCCCCUCUUGCUCUGGACAUGACAAGCAGCCUGUCUGUUGGCCCACGUCUGCUUCUCCAGCCUCCAUGGUGCGUGCGCACCUCUGUCCCCAACAACUCCUAUGCUUCUCCACUCCUGCUGGCCUUCUCUCUGUCCCCAACCAGCCCAAGCUCUCCUCUGCCUCUGGGACUUCACAGAUGCCAUGCCCUCACCCUGCUGACUCCUACUGACCCUUCAUGUUUCAGCUUCAAUGAGACAUCCUCAGGAAGCCUUUUCUAACCCCACUCAGCUCCCAAGCUAGGUUCGAUCUGCAAAUUGUUGUACACUCUUCUCGCUGAAUAACAUAGAUGCCAACAGAUCUCCUGAGACAAUACCCAUCUCAGAGGCUCUGGUCUGGACCCCCUAGCCCAGGAAUGCACACUCUGAGAAUUUCUUCUGGGUGUCCCCUCCUCAGGAGACCAGGAGUUUGCACAAGGCUAGGUUGGCAGCAAUUGAAAUUUAUUCUCUUAGUACCCUGGGAUCAAUCUGAUGUCUAUAAAUGCUGGUUGAACAAACCAGUUAGUGAAUGACUGAGAAAUGUGGGUUUUGCCUCUGGAUUCAUUUCUGUUAAUUUCUGACCUUGCUGUGUUCCCUCCUUUCUUCUGCUCUCUUGUUCUGGGCAUGUACUUUCUUUCAUGAUCCUUAUAGUGCAAGGUUCAAAAUCAGUUACCAUGCAAGAAGGUUUGCCACCUGCUGUUUAUGAAACUGAACCAUUAGGAAUUAUAGUUUUCCAGCUUGUGAAAUGAAACAUCUGAGUCCUGCCACAAAACACACCCCUUUGAAAAGGCUAUUUGUUUCUGACAAUAAAUAUGAUAAACACACGUGGAAUAAAUGUCAAAUAGAUCAAAGGGCUAGAUUCAGAAAACAAUUCUUUCUUCUUCCCUGAACUCCCCUCUUCCCAUUUUAAUGAACAAGCAGCAUACAGAGAGAGAGAGAGAGAGAGAGAGACCUUCAUUGUUUCAUAAAAAUUAUAGCAUAGGACAUAUCCUGUUGUGUACCUGGCUUUCCUCACAUACUAAUGUAUGUUGAAGACAUUAAACACCAGCACAGGUUGCUUACCCAAUUCUUUUAGAUGACCCCUAGAAUUCUACUGUAUAGUAUGCUAGAGUUUACUUAACUAGACCUGUAUAAAUGAGCACAGAAUGCUACAACAAAUGUUCUUGUGGCAGCAUAUUUUUUAGGUGUCCAAGUACAUACACUCCUAAAAGUGGACUUCCUGGGUCAAAAGACACAAGCACUUAUAAUUUGGAAAGAUAUUGCCAGCCAAAGGCUGGUACCAGUUGGCCCUCUCACUGACGGUAGCUGAGAAUGUGGGUUUUUCCACACUCACACAGUUACAGUUUCAAGUUUGUUUUGUCUUCCUUUCUGAUUAUUAAUCACCAGGGAUUUGGCACCUUCAGAUGUUAGUUUCUCUUUCUGUGAAAUGUAAUAAACACUUGAGAAAAUAAAACCUAAAGGAACCCUAUAGCCCCUUACUUCUGCUACAUCACUUGGUUUGUGAAUAUUCUCAUUUUGCAUUUUAUCUUUCUGCAGGCAAGAAGCUUGGCUACAAACGUCUAACACUGUGGUAUAUUUGGGGGGAAGAAGAUAAUGCACAAGGAACUACCCAGAUCCUCCUACCACACCCUGUUGCUGUAGUAUGAUUUGGGUUCAAACUCAGUGACAACAGGCUGGACAUUCACCAACAGAUCCAAGGUCUUCAUCGGAUUCACCGGCUAAAACCAUCUAUCAACAAGCAUCUGUUGGCUCAUUUGCUGAGAAAUAAGGCACAAUGUUGAAGGGAGAAAAGGGAGAUGCUGGAAUUCAUACAUAAUUCUUGUUUUUUUUUUUCUUUCAACAAUAAUUGCUAACAUCGUUGAGUGUCAGGUCCUUUGUGAACUGUACCCUCACAACACUGCCAUCAUGUAAACAUGUGAUGAUUUUCAUAUUGUAAAUGUGAAAAUAAAGGCUUACAGUUGACAGACUCAGUCUGUUCUCAAAGGGGAUUUAUGCCCCAUAGUGGGAACUUCUGGAAACAUGCUCUUGGGUACGGGUCUGUGGCAGCUGUCAGGAGGGCUUUUUUUUCCCCAAGCCAAACUGUAUUCAGUUUUAUUAAAGAUACUGUCCAUCGGCC
rnacentral:lncRNA from 10 species